rnacentral:lncRNA from 1 species
CUACAAAAUGUUUUAUUCUACUUUCAUAAAAUAAAAUAUGAAUCAUAAACAAUAAAAACAAUAUAACCAACACCACACCAUAUAACCACACUUUAUACAACGCUGAGGCUGUGUAAACAUUCAGCACUUUGUGUUAAGAGGGUGACUAUGGUACCAACACGAAUUCACCAGCAGGGGUCACUAUGAUUCUCCGCAAAAGAAAGAAAAAUCACAAGUCGAGUUCCACCUCUUCUAUCAUUUGUUUCUUGUCGCCGCCAUCUGCCUCCGCCUCGAAUAAAUAAAAGACUCCUGUAACAAAAACAAUUAUAUCAUUAUUUUCUAUUAACUUGUGUCUUUACUGCUCCCACUGGAAGGCUAUUCCAUGUAUCUACUACCCUUUCUAUAUCACUGUUACUGCUCCCACUGGAAGGCUAUUCCAGGUAUCUACUACCCUUUCUAUAUCACUGUUACCGCUCCCACUGGAAUGCUAUUCCAGCUAUCUACUACCCUUUCUAUAUCAUUGUUACUGCUCUCACUGGAAGACUAUUCCUGGUAUCUACUACCCUUUCUAUAUCACUGUUACUGCUCCCAAUGGAAGGCUAUUCCAGGUAUCUACUACCCUUUCUAUAUCACUGUUACUGCUCCCAAUGGGAGGCUAUUCCAGGUAUCUACUACCCUUUCUAUAUCACUGUUACUGCUCCCACUGGAAGGCUAUUCCAUGUAUCUACUACCCUUUCUAUAUCACUGUUACUGCUCCCACUGGAAGGCUAUUCCUGGUAUCUACUACCCUUUCUAUAUCACUGUUACUGCUCCCACUGGAAGGCUAUUCCAGGUAUCUACUACCCUUUCUAUAUCACUGUUACUGCUCCCGCUGGAAGGCUAUUCCAGGUAUCUACUACCCUUUCUAUAUCACUGUUACUGCUCCCACUGGAAGGCUAUUCCAGGUAUCUACUACCCAUUCUAUAUCACUGUUACUGCUCCCACUGGAUGGCUAUUCCAUGUAUCUACUACCCUUUCUAUAUCACUGUUCCUGCUCCCACUGGAAGGCUAUUCCAGGUAUCUACUACCCUUUCUAUAUCACUGUUAUUGCUCCCACUGGAAGGCUAUUCCAGGUAUCUACUACCCUUUCUAUAUCUCUGUUACCGAUCCCACUGGAAGGCUAUUCCAGGUAUCUACUACCCUUUCUAUAUCACUGUUACUGCUUCCACUGGAAGGCUAUUCCAGGUAUCUACUGCCCUUUCUAUAUCACUGUUACUGCUCCCACUGGAAGGCUAUUCCAGGUAUCUACUGCCCUUUCUAUAUCACUGUUACUGCUCCCACUGGAAGGCUAUUCCAGGUAUCUACUACCCUUUCUAUAUCACUGUUACUGCUCCCACUGGAAGGCUAUUCCAGGUAUCUACUACCCUUUCUAUAUCCCUGUUACUGCUCCCACUGGAAGGCUAUUCCAGGUAUCUACUACCCUUUCUAUAUCACUGUUACUGCUCCCGCUGGAAGGCUAUUCAGGUAUCUACUACCCUUUCUAUAUCACUGUUACUGCUCCCACUGGAAGGCUAUUCCAGGUAUCUACUACCCUUUCUAUAUCGCUGUUACUGCUCCCACUGGAAGGCUCUUCCAGGUAUCUACUACCCUUUCUAUAUCACUGUUACUGCUCCCACUGGAACGCUUUUCCAGGUAUCUACUACCCUUUCUAUAUCACUGUUACUGCUCCCACUGGAAAGCUAUUCCAGGUAUCUACUACCCUUUCUAUAUCGCUAUUACUGCUACCACUGGAAGCUUGCACACCGCGGCGACUCACUAACCAAUCACAUGCAAGUCGACUCACUUACAGGUUUUACCAAGAGCAUUGUGAGAAAUGCGAACCCCAGAUCUACAUACACUUUAACGUCUUCUCCUAUGUCACUGACUACAGCAGCACGGCACGGUCUGAAACACGCCAUCUCCACCAGCAUACAGCCGGAGAGCAAAGUAUUAAUACCAUCUUGCUUUAUAAAUUGAACACACCCACUGAUUCCAUUGAUCAGCAACAGUCUUCCAUGUAAUAAAUGUUAAAACGAGAAUGUCUGGCUGAUAAUAUGCAGGGUAUAAUAGGCUCCAACUCAAUAGGUCAGUGCCCCGUAUGGUGUGUGUAUAAUAUCUAUCUGUAUCUCCUAAUAAACAUCCUCCUUAUACCAUGUAGAGAUCUUCCAGGGCAUUCGCGGCUAAGUCCCCCUGAAGUCUAUUCGCGGUUUUGGUCCAUGCGAACAAGAUGGCCAACACCACCUGUUCGAAUGUUGAAUGGCGGCCACUUAGACUGUUCAGGAGUUUAAAAAGUGCCAUUUUGAAAGUUUGAACUGUGGCCAUAAAAAUCCAAAAAGGCACAAACAGUGAUUUAAAGCAAGUUUUAUCACAGGGGCCAUAGUCACAGGGUAGGAGGCUGGCAAACAGGCCCCUCCUAAAACUAGUGGCGAGGUUACUUUCACCACCUAUCUCCCUCUGGGAGACUAACCAGGUACCUGAUCUCCUGUUGGUCAGUGCCUGAGUUAGUCGAGUAUCCCACCGAUAAAGUAAUACUGGUACUGGCUUCUCGGUAGCUCUCCAGUUGGUAGUUCGUGUUACUUGGUGGGCAGAGACCAGUGGUGCUCUGCCCCGCAGCUAUCGUUACAGCUGGGUGAUUGAGAGGGGUGCCAGUUUCAGGAUUAAGGACAAGGGGAGGGCAGAGGCCAACUACGCUCUGCCCUGUUGCCAGCGCUUCUGCUGGGGUUGCCUGCGGGUAUUCAGGCCCUGGACAACAGGAAAUGGGUGGACAGAGGGCAACUGCGCUCUGCCCUGAUGUCAGCACUUCUGCUGGGAGGACUAGUGCGUAGUCCUGCCCUUUAACAAGGGGGCAGGUAGGGUAGAGGCCAGCGGCGCUCUGCCUUGUUGCCAGCUCUUCUCCUGGGAUAGGUUCAGCGGAUACUACCCCCAGAACCUGGUUGAGGUUCUGCUGUGGAGAGGAGGGAUCGCCUAUCUCCUCCUCCAGGCAUUCCUGCGGUGUUGGUUGGGGAUCUGGACCGGCCAUCCAGCAUCCCUGUAGGUCUGGUGCAGAGACCAUGGUCCCAUCUGCACCAUUGGAGUCAGGAGUGCUGUCCCCCUGUGGUUGGGGAGAAGGGCCAGUUGUCUCCUCUCUCUGUAUCUCCGGCUGCUGUUGGAGAGAGAGAUCGGUUGUCUCCUCUCCCUGCAAGGUACACUGCCGCUGGGGAGGGAGACCGGUAACACACACUACUGUUGGGGAGUGAGACAGAUUGUCUCCACUCCCUGUAGGAUGCACUGCUGCUGGAGAGAGAGACCGGUUGUCUCCUCUCCCUGCAAGGUAAGCUGCCACUGGGGAGUAGGACUGACUGUCCCUACUCCCAGUAACUCCUGCUGUAGCUGGGGAUCUGAGCCGGCUGCCCAGCAUCCCUGUAGGGCCGGUAGAGAGAUCUCAUAAACGUCACAGAAUCGUGACUUUCCAGCACUUCCAAACUCUGGUUCUGCAAAGGCCUCCCAUAACAGGCCAGGGUCAUCAUAAUCCUCCCCCUCAGGCCUUUCGUGCUCAGCCAUCCAGGGGGUAUGCCUACCCAUAUACCAUCAUAGGGCCUGGUAGGAGUCGUCUAGCUAAAGCUCCUUCCAUACCAGGUCCUCGAGUUCUGUCACCCACUCAUUCAGGGGCUGCUCUCCCAGGAGAGGCAUCCGCAGCGCCACUUGCAUCUGUCGACGCUGCUCUUCACUGGGUAGACUUUCGCCUCGCCGAUGCUGUAUGAUCUCAUACCAGACGUCUUUCCGGACUGCAUCCCUCCAGUCCGGGUCAUCUUCCUCCUUGUAUAGGAACGCUAUUUGAGGACUAGCUGGUUCCAUACUGCUGUUGCCAGGGGCGCUGUACGGGGAUUGGUGUUGCCCUCAAUAUAAAUCCACACAUUACCGGUGUCUCCAGGAUAUUUUUCCUCGCACUAGGAAGCCAUCCCACCACUGCCACCAGAUGUGACGGACCGCCUGGGCCCCCGACUGGGUACCUCCGUCAGUCGAUGCUCCUAGUACUCACCAAGGACUCCAAACACUCCACCCGACUCCAUCAACACCGCAGUCCCCACGUCCAGCGUUACAGCUUGGCUGGGAACUCUCCAUCCUCGACCCACCCUGGACCCAAGACCAGGAUCCAGCUUCCAAUGGGUGAACCUCUCCUACUCCAGAGAGCGUAGCAGAAACAAGCUCUU